rnacentral:rRNA from 1 species
UGACUGCGUACCUUUUGUAUAAUGGGUCAGCGACUUAUAUUCUGUAGCAAGGUUAACCGAAUAGGGGAGCCGGAGGGAAACCGAGUCUUAACCGGGCGUUAAGUUGCAGGGUAUAGACCCGAAACCCGGUGAUCUAGCCAUGGGCAGGUUGAAGGUUGGGUAACACUAACUGGAGGACCGAACCGACUAAUGUUGAAAAAUUAGCGGAUGACCUGUGGCUGGGGGUGAAAGGCCAAUCAAACCGGGAGAUAGCUGGUUCUCCCCGAAAGCUAUUUAGGUAGCGCCUCGUGAACUCAUCUCCGGGGGUAGAGCACUGUUUCGGCUAGGGGGCCAUCCCGGCUUACCAACCCGAUGCAAACUGCGAAUACCGGAGAAUGUUAUCACGGGAGACACACGGCGGGUGCUAACGUCCGUCGUGAAGAGGGAAACAACCCAGACCGCCAGCUAAGGUCCCAAAGUCAUGGUUAAGUGGGAAACGAUGUGGGAAGGCCCAGACAGCCAGGAUGUUGGCUUAGAAGCAGCCAUCAUUUAAAGAAAGCGUAAUAGCUCACUGGUCGAGUCGGCCUGCGCGGAAGAUGUAACGGGGCUAAACCAUGCACCGAAGCUGCGGCAGCGACACUCAGGUGUUGUUGGGUAGGGGAGCGUUCUGUAAGCCUGCGAAGGUGGCCUGUGAGGGUUGCUGGAGGUAUCAGAAGUGCGAAUGCUGACAUAAGUAACGAUAAAGCGGGUGAAAAGCCCGCUCGCCGGAAGACCAAGGGUUCCUGUCCAACGUUAAUCGGGGCAGGGUGAGUCGACCCCUAAGGCGAGGCCGAAAGGCGUAGUCGAUGGGAAACGGGUUAAUAUUCCCGUACUUGGUGUUACUGCGAAGGGGGGACGGAGAAGGCUAUGUUGGCCGGGCGACGGUUGUCCCGGUUUAAGCGUGUAGGUGUGUGUUCCAGGUAAAUCCGGUUCACUUUAACACUGAGGCGUGACGACGAGGCACUACGGUGCUGAAGCAACAAAUGCCCUGCUUCCAGGAAAAGCCUCUAAGCAUCAGGUAACAUCAAAUCGUACCCCAAACCGACACAGGUGGUCAGGUAGAGAAUACCAAGGCGCUUGAGAGAACUCGGGUGAAGGAACUAGGCAAAAUGGUGCCGUAACUUCGGGAGAAGGCACGCUGACACGUAGGUGAAGUGAUUUACUCAUGGAGCUGAAGUCAGUCGAAGAUACCAGCUGGCUGCAACUGUUUAUUAAAAACACAGCACUGUGCAAACACGAAAGUGGACGUAUACGGUGUGACGCCUGCCCGGUGCCGGAAGGUUAAUUGAUGGGGUCAGCGCAAGCGAAGCUCCUGAUCGAAGCCCCGGUAAACGGCGGCCGUAACUAUAACGGUCCUAAGGUAGCGAAAUUCCUUGUCGGGUAAGUUCCGACCUGCACGAAUGGCGUAAUGAUGGCCAGGCUGUCUCCACCCGAGACUCAGUGAAAUUGAACUCGCUGUGAAGAUGCAGUGUACCCGCGGCAAGACGGAAAGACCCCGUGAACCUUUACUAUAGCUUGACACUGAACAUUGAGCCUUGAUGUGUAGGAUAGGUGGGAGGCUUUGAAGUGUGGACGCCAGUCUGCAUGGAGCCGGCCUUGAAAUACCACCCUUUAAUGUUUGAUGUUCUAACGUGGACCCGUGAUCCGGGUUGCGGACAGUGUCUGGUGGGUAGUUUGACUGGGGCGGUCUCCUCCUAAAGAGUAACGGAGGAGCACGAAGGUUGGCUAAUCCUGGUCGGACAUCAGGAGGUUAGUGCAAUGGCAUAAGCCAGCUUGACUGCGAGCGUGACGGCGCGAGCAGGUGCGAAAGCAGGUCAUAGUGAUCCGGUGGUUCUGAAUGGAAGGGCCAUCGCUCAACGGAUAAAAGGUACUCCGGGGAUAACAGGCUGAUACCGCCCAAGAGUUCAUAUCGACGGCGGUGUUUGGCACCUCGAUGUCGGCUCAUCACAUCCUGGGGCUGAAGUAGGUCCCAAGGGUAUGGCUGUUCGCCAUUUAAAGUGGUACGCGAGCUGGGUUUAGAACGUCGUGAGACAGUUCGGUCCCUAUCUGCCGUGGGCGCUGGAGAACUGAGGGGGGCUGCUCCUAGUACGAGAGGACCGGAGUGGACGCAUCACUGGUGUUCGGGUUGUCAUGCCAAUGGCACUGCCCGGUAGCUAAAUGCGGAAGAGAUAAGUGCUGAAAGCAUCUAAGCACGAAACUUGCCCCGAGAUGAGUUCU